rnacentral:misc_RNA from 1 species
GUGAAUCAUCGAAUCUUUGAACGCAAAUUGCACUCUCUGGUAUUCCGGAGAGUAUGCCUGUUUGAGGGUCAGUAUAAAUAAAAAUCGGUGUGGUUGCUGCCUUUCGUGGUGACGUACCGGAUGUGGGUCGUCUUGCCUUCGGUUAAGUUGCCUAGAAUUUUUCAUGAUUCUUUCGAACGUCUUUAACUGG